CAGUCGCCACGGUAAAACGGAGGGUGCAAGCGUUAUCCGGAUUUAUUGGGUUUAAAGGGUCCGUAGGCGGACUUAUAAGUCAGUGGUGAAAGCCUGUCGCUUAACGAUAGAACUGCCAUUGAUACUGUAAGUCUUGAGUAUAUUUGAGGUAGCUGGAAUAAGUAGUGUAGCGGUGAAAUGCAUAGAUAUUACUUAGAACACCAAUUGCGAAGGCAGGUUACCAAGAUAUAACUGACGCUGAGGGACGAAAGCGUGGGUAGCGAACAGGAUUAGAUACCCCAGUAGUCCCUGUCUCUUAUAC
rnacentral:rRNA from 1 species